rnacentral:rRNA from 1 species
AAAGGAAUUGACGGGGGCCCGCACAAGCGGAGGAACAUGUGGUUUAAUUCGAUGAUACGCGAGGAACCUUACCCGGGCUUGAAUUGCUGAGGAAAGAUCCAGAGAUGGUGAUGCCCUUCGGGGCCUCAGUGAAGGUGCUGCAUGGUUGUCGUCAGCUCGUGCCGUAAGGUGUCGGCUUAAGUGCCAUAACGAGCGCAACCCUUGCUGUUAGUUGCCAUCAGGUUAUGCUGGGCACUCUAAUGGGACUGCCAUCGUAAGAUGUGAGGAAGGUGGGGAUGACGUCAAAUCAGCACGGCCCUUAUGUCCGGGGCGACACACGUGUUACAAUGGUAGGUACAGAGGGAAGCCACCUGGCGACAGGGCGCAGAUCCCGAAAUCCUAUCUCAGUUCGGAUCGGAGUCUGGAACUCGACUCCGUGAAGCUGGAUUCGCUAGUAAUCGCGCAUCAGCCAUGGCGCGGUGAAUACGUUCCCGGGCCUUGUACACACCGCCCGU